rnacentral:lncRNA from 1 species
CUUGGUUGGUUGUGAGUGAUAACUAAAGGACACCGGGCAGGAAGGAGGGGACGGCUGCCGAGCCUCCAGGGAGGUGCUCUGCUUAGGAAUUUGGACUUUAGCCUGAAGGCUGUAGGGCAGUCGGGAAGGCAGCUCGCUCAGGCAAUGUUCUGGGCCGAGCAGCUGUUUGGAAAGAGGACCCUGGCAGGCUCCUGGAGCUCCAGAGACAAAGACAGGCCAGAAGUGGAGACUGGAGUCACACGGCAGAAUAAGAGAACCUGCCAGGGAGAGCACUCCAGAUCCAACGGAAGAACUGUAAAUUCCUGUGAAAAUGGCUCUUCUCAAAAAGCACCGCCAACAAGAGAGUAAAUUUGGUAUGGACCUUCUGAAGGCAAUCUGGUAACACGUAGAAAUCAACAGGAAAGUGCUCAGGCUCUGUUCUGGAAGAUUCUCUGAAGCUGAUAGCCUCUGUUCCUUAUUCUGCCCCAAGGGGUUUGUGUGGGGUUGGGGAACAUGAUUUUUUUUUAUAAAU